CGACCCCAGGUACAGAUGGGGA
rnacentral:rRNA from 1 species